CUUGGGACCCCGACCUUCGGGGGCUGUUUUUUGGGCGCGGCUGUGCCCGUGGCCUAUUUUUGGCACACGGAGGCCGCCCGCAAAGUCUGGUGCCAUUCCGAGUCCCGCGGACGAACUUCGCCCACGCCCCCCACCAAGGCUAUAGCCCACCCGUUUUUUGGCCAUUUUUCCGCUGGGGGGUCUUGGGACCCCGAACUUCGGGGGCUGUUUUUUGGGCGCGGCUGUGCCCGUGGCCUAUUUUUGGCACACGGAGGCCGCCCGCCAAGUCUGGUGCCAUUCCGAGUCCCGCGGACGAACUUCGCCCACGCCCCCCACCAAGGCUAUAGCCCACCCGUUUUUUGGCCAUUUUUCCGCUGGGGGGUCUUGGGACCCCGAACUUCGGGGGCUGUUUUUUGGGCGCGGCUGUGCCCGUGGCCUAUUUUUGGCACACGGAGGCCGCCCGCCAAGUCUGGUGCCAUUCCGAGUCCCGCGGACGAACUUCGCCCACGCCCCCCACCAAGGCUAUAGCCCACCCGUUUUUUGGCCAUUUUUCCGCUGGGGGGUCUUGGGACCCCGAACUUCGGGGGCUGUUUUUUGGGCGCGGCUCUGCCCGUGGCCUAUUUUUGGCACACGGAGGCCGCCCGCCAAGUCUGGUGCCAUUCCGAGUCCCGCGGACGAACUUCGCCCACGCCCCCCACCAAGGCUAUAGCCCACCCGUUUUUUGGCCAUUUUUCCGCUGGGGGGUCUUGGGACCCCGAACUUUGGGGGCUGUUUUUUGGGCGCGGCUGUGCCCGUGGCCUAUUUUUGGCACACGGAGGCCGCCCGCCAAGUCUGGUGCCAUUCCGAGUCCCGCGGACGAACUUCGCCCACGCCCCCCACCAAGGCUAUAGCCCAUCCGUUUUUUGGCCAUUUUUCCGCUGGGGGGUCUUGGGACCCCGAACUUCGGGGGCUGUUUUUUGGGCGCGGCUGUGCCCGUGGCCUAUUUUUGGCACACGGAGGCCGCCCGCCAAGUCUGGUGCUAUUCCGAGUCCCGCGGACGAACUUCGCCCACGCCCCCCACCAAGGCUAUAGCCCACCCGUUUUUUGGCCAUUUUUCCGCUGGGGGGUCUUGGGACCCCGAACUUCGGGGGCUGUUUUUUGGGUGCGGCUGUGCCCGUGGCCUAUUUUUGGCACACGGAGGCCGCCCGCCAUGUCUGGUGCCAUUCCGAGUCCCGCGGAUGAACUUCGCCCACGCCCCCCACCAAGGCUAUAGCCCACCGUUUUUUGGCCAUUUUUCCGCUGGGGGGUCUUGGGACCCCGAACUUCGGGGGCUGUUUUUUGGGUGCGGCUGCGCCCGUGACCUAUUUUUGGCACACGGAGGCCGCCCGCCAAGUCUGGUGCCAUUCUGAGUCCCGCGGACGAAAUUCGCCCACGCCCCCCACCAAGGCUAUAGCCCACCCGUUUUUUGGCCAUUUUUCCGCUGGGGGGUCUUGGGACCCCGAACUUCGGGGGCUGUUUUUUGGGCGCGGCUGUGCCCGUGGCCUAUUUUUGGCACACGGAGGCCGCCCGCAAAGUCUGGUGCCAUUCGGAGUCCCGCGGACGAACUUCGCCCACGCCCCCCACCAAGGCUAUAGCCCACCCGUUUUUUGGCCAUUUUUCCGCUGGGGGGUCUUGGGAACCCGAACUUCGGGGGCUGUUUUUUGGGCACGGCUGUGCCCGUGGCCUAUUUUUGGCACACGGAGGCCGCGCGCCAAGUCUGGAGCCAUUCCGAGUCCCACGGACGAACUUCGCCCACGCCCCCCACCUAGGCUAUAGCCCACCGUUUUUUGGCCAUUUUUCCGCUGGGGGGUCUUGGGACCCCGAACUUCGGGGGCUGUUUUUUGGGCGCGGCUGUGCCCGUGGCCUAUUUUUGGCACACGGAAGCCGCCCCGCCAUUCUGGUGCCAUUCCGAGUCCCGCGGAAGAACUUCGCCCACGCCCCCCACCAAGGCUAUAGCCCACCUGUUUUUUGGCCAUUUUUCCGCUGGGGGUUCUUGGGACCCCGAACUUCGGGGGCUGUUUUUUGGGCGCGGCUGUGCCCGUGGCCUAUUUUUGGCACACGGAGGCCGCCCGCCAAGUCUGGUGCCAUUCCGAGUCCCGCGGACGAACAUUGCCCACGCCCCCCACCAAGGCUAUAGCCCACCCGUUUUUUGGCCAUUGUUCCGCUGGGGGGUCUUGGGACCCCGAACUUCGGGGGCUGUUUUUUGGGCGCGGCUGUGCCCGUGGCCUAUUUUUGGCACACGGAGGCCGCCCGCCAAGUCUGGUGCCAUUCCGAGUCCCGCGGACGAACUUCGCCCACGCCCCCCACCAAGGCUAUAGCCCACCCGUUUUUUGGCCAUUUUUCCGCUGGGAGGUCUUGGGACCCCGAACUUCGGGGGCUGUUUUUUGGGCGCGGCUGUGCCCGUGGCCUAUUUUUGGCACACGGAGGCCGCCCGCCAAGUCUGGUGCCAUUCCGAGUCCCGCGGACGAACUUCGCCCACGCACCCCACCAAGGCUAUAGCCCACCGUUUUUUGGCCAUUUUUCCGCUGGGGGGUCUUGGGACCCCGAACUUCGGGGGUUGUUUUUUGGGCGCGGCUGUGCCCGUGGCCUAUUUUUGGCACACGGAGGCCGCCCGCCAAGUCUGGUGCCAUUCCGAGUCCCGCGGACGAACUUCGCCACGCCCCCCACCAAGGCUAUAGCCCACCGUUUUUUGGCCAUUUUUCCGCUAGGGGGUCUUGGGACCCCGAACUUCGGGGGCUGUUUUUUGGGCGCGGCUGUGCCCGUGGCCUAUUUUUGGCACACGGAGGCCGCCCGCCAAGUCUGGUGCCAUUCCGAGUCCCGCGGACGAACUUCGCCCACGCCCCCCACCAAGGCUAUAGCCCACCCGUUAUUUGGCCAUUUUUCCGCUGGGGGGUCUUGGGACCCCGAACUUCGGGGGCUGUUUUUUGGGCGCGGCUGUGCCCGUGGCCUAUUUUUGGCACACGGAGGCCGCCCGCCAAGUCUGGUGCCAUUCCGAGUCCCGCGGACGAACUUCGCCCACGCACCCCACCAAGGCUAUAGCCCACCCGUUUUUUGGCCAUUUUUCCGCUGGGGGGUCUUGGGACCCCGAACUUCGGGGGUUGUUUUUUGGGCGCGGCUGUGCCCGUGGCCUAUUUUUGGCACACGGAGGCCGCCCGCCAAGUCUGGUGCCAUUCCGAGUCCCGCGGACGAACUUCGCCCACGCCCCCCACCAAGGCUAUAGCCCACCGUUUUUUGGCCAUUUUUCCGCUGGGUGGUCUUGGGACCCCGAACUUCGGGGGCUGUUUUUUGGGCGCGGCUGUGCCCGUGGCCUAUUUUUGGCACACGGAGGCCGCCCGCCAAGUCUGGUGCCAUUCCGAGUCCCGCGGACGAACUUCGCCCACGCCCCCCACCAAGGCUAUAGCCCACCCGUUUUUUGGCCAUUUUUCCGCUGGGGGGUCUUGGGACCCCGAACUUCGGGGGCUGUUUUUUGGGCACGGCUGUGCCCGUGGCCUAUUUUUGGCAUACGGAGGCCGCCCGCCAAGUCUGGUGCCAUUCCGAGUCCCGCGGACGAACUUCGCCCACGCCCCCCACCAAGGCUAUAGCCCACCCGUUUUUUGGCCAUUUUUCCGCUGGGGGGUCUUGGGACCCCGAACUUCGGGGGCUGUUUUUUGGGCGCGGCUGUGCCCGUGGCCUAUUUUUGGCACACGGAGGCCGCCCGCCAAGUCUGGUGCCAUUCCGAGUCCCGCGGACGAACUUCGCCCACGCCCCCCACCAAGGCUAUAGCCCACCGUUUUUUGGCCAUUUUUCCGCUGGGGGGUCUUGGGACCCCGAACUUCGGGGGUUGUUUUUUGGGCGCGGCUGUGCCCGUGGCCUAUUUUUGGCACACGGAGGCCGCCCGCCAAGUCUGGUGCCAUUCCGAGUCCCACGGACGAACUUCGCCCACGCCCCCCACCAAGGCUAUAGCCCACCGUUUUUUGGCCAUUUUUCCGCUGGGGGGUCUUGGGACCCCGAACUUCGGGGGCUGUUUUUUGGGCGCGGCUGUGCCCGUGGCCUAUUUUUGGCACACGGAGGCCGCCCGCCAAGUCUGGUGCCAUUCCGAGUCCCGCGGACGAACUUCGCCCACGCACCCCACCAAGGCUAUAGCCCACCGUUUUUUGGCCAUUUUUCCGCUGGGGGGUCUUGGGACCCCGAACUUCGGGGGUUGUUUUUUGGGCGCGGCUGUGCCCGUGGCCUAUUUUUGGCACACGGAGGCCGCCCGCCAAGUCUGGUGCCAUUCCGAGUCCCGCGGACGAACUUCGCCCACGCCCCCCACCAAGGCUAUAGCCCACCAUUUUUUGGCCAUUUUUCCGCUGCGGGGUCUUGGGACCCCGAACUUCGGGGGCUGUUUUUUGGGCGCGGCUGUGCCCGUGGCCUAUUUUUGGCACACGGAGGCCGCCCGCCAAGUCUGGUGCCAUUCCGAGUCCCGCGGACGAACUUCGCCCACGCCCCUUCCAGCAAGGCUAUAGCCCACCCGUUUUUUGGCCAUUUUCCGCUGGGGGG
rnacentral:lncRNA from 1 species